CACGUAGGGCGCGAGCGUUGUCCGGAAUUAUUGGGCGUAAAGAGCUCGUAGGCGGCCUGCUGCGUCCGCUGUGAAAGCCCGGGGCUUAACCCCGGGUCGGCAGUGGAUACGGGCAGGCUAGAGGUAGGUAGGGGAGAAUGGAAUUCCCGGUGUAGCGGUGAAAUGCGCAGAUAUCAGGAGGAACACCGGUGGCGAAGGCGGGUCUCUGGGCCGUAACUGACGCUGAGGAGCGAAAGCGUGGGGAGCGAACAGG
rnacentral:rRNA from 1 species